rnacentral:rRNA from 1 species
UACGUAGGCAGCGAGCGUUGUUCGGAGUUACUGGGCGUAAAGGGUGUGUAGGCGGUUUUCUAAGUUUGGUGUGAAAUUUCCCGGCUCAACCGGGAGGGUGCGCCGAAAACUGGGAGACUAGAGUGCGGGAUGGGAGAGUAGAAUUCCUGGUGUAGCGGUGAAAUGCGUAGAGAUGUGGAGGAACACCAGUGGCGAAGGCGACUUUUUGGCCUGUAACUGACGCUGAGGCGCGAAAGCGUGGGGAGCAAACAGG